UGGCCGGCCAUCCAGCGGUCUAAAGCGCUGCAUUCAGGUAGGCAGUCUCCCCUGGAGGCGUGGGUUCGAAUCCCACUUCUG